AUUGAACGCUGGCGGCAGGCCUAACACAUGCAAGUCGAACGGUAACAGGAAACAGCUUGCUGUUUCGCUGACGAGUGGCGGACGGGUGAGUAAUGUCUGGGAAACUGCCUGAUGGAGGGGGAUAACUACUGGAAACGGUAGCUAAUACCGCAUAACGUCGCAAGACCAAAGAGGGGGACCUUCGGGCCUCUUGCCAUCGGAUGUGCCCAGAUGGGAUUAGCUAGUAGGUGGGGUAACGGCUCACCUAGGCGACGAUCCCUGGCUGGUCUGAGAGGAUGACCAGCCACAAUGGAACUGAGACACGGUCCAGACUCGUACGGGAGGCAGCAGUGGGGAAUAUUGCACAAUGGGCGCAAGCCUGAUGCAGCCAUGCCGCGUGUAUGAAGAAGGCCUUCGGGUUGUAAAGUACUUUCAGCGGGGAGGAAGGGAGUAAAGUUAAUACCUUUGCUCAUUGACGUUACCCGCAGAAGAAGCACCGGCUAACUCCGUGCCAGCCGCCGCCGUAA
rnacentral:rRNA from 1 species